UUGGCUUUUUUAGAUUCCACAUAGAAGCGAGAUCAUGCAGUGUUUCUCUUUCUGUGUCUGGCUUAUGUCACUCGGCAUAACGUCCUCCAGCUUGAGCCAUGCUGUUUUUGCUUUUCAGUCUUGUACCCACCACCUUUCCUUCUCUCUGCCAGUUAGAUAUUUUCAGUGCGUCUGUGUUUGUGAGCAUGCACAGGCACCUCUGUGGUUUGCCUUUGCCUCAGUUCUCUGACCUUUCGCAGGCUCUCCUGUGGGGAGCGUGCUUUGCUGAGUCUGCUUGUCUACAGGCGGUCCUCAAACUGAUCGCCAGAGGAAGCCAGGCUUCCUGGGGUCCUGAAUCAGCAGAGCAGGAAGGAAAUAAAAAGGCCACAGAACUGUCAAAGAGGAAGAAGACAACUUGAAGGCAGAAUCUGUACCUCUAGGGACAGGUCUGAGAAAAAAGAAACCAUAUUAUGCCUGGAGUCCCAUCACCCGCGAAUAGAGGCAGAGGCUCCAGAGCAAGGCUCCAGCGAUGCUGUUUCUUCCGAUCAAACGACCCUGGGUUUGGCGGAAAGGUAAAUAUCCCUUGUGGUUCUCCGGACAAGAAAGGAGCCAAAUGUAUAUCGGAUGUAAGUCCGUUGUAUUAAGGAGCCUGAAAGUAUAAACAACAACCAAAAAAACCUUGCAGACCCACGAGCCUUGUGACCAGCUUUCAUGGAACUCAGCGGUCCUCCUCAGAGCCACAACCAGAGGCCCUCCCAUAAGAGUGAACCCCGGUGUCCCAGAAGACAGCAGCAGGGCCAAGGGUUGAUUUAUCAGCCGUCAUUCAAAUCCCCACUUGCACACAGCCGGAUUUCUUUUCAGCGCGGCCUCAUUAUUUUUCGCUGGCCCUUGUAUCACGUCCGCUCGCCUGAUUUACUUGAAUAAAGGCUUGUGUGAAGUGAA